CAGGCUUUCUGGCUGGAUGCGCCUCCCCUGGAGCUACCUUUUGCUCAUCACAGCAGGUACUGUGUGUGUGUGUGUAUGUGCAUGUGUGUUUUCAGGUUUUUUACUGUGAUAAAACACACAAAACGCACCACCUUAACCAUUUCCAGGCGUGGUCGGUGGUGUUACAUUCACGCUGUUGCAGGCGUGCAGGUCGGUGGUGUUACACACAUUCACACUGUUGCAGGCGUGCAGGUCGGUGGUGUUACACACAUUUGGGCUGUUGCAGGCGUACAGGUCAGUGGUGUUACACACAUGCUGUUGCAGGAGUACAGGUCGGUGGUGUUACACACAUUCAUGCUGUUGCAGGCGUGCAGGUUGGUGCUGUUACACACAUGCUGUUGCAGGAGUACAGGUCGGUGGUGUUACAUGCUGUUGCAGGCGUGCAGGUCGGUGGUGUUACAUUCACGCUGUUGCAGGCGUGCAGGUCGGUGCUGUUACACACAUUCCUGCUGUUGCAGGAGUACAGGUCGGUGGUGUUACACGUGCUGUUGCAGGUGUGCAGGUCGGUGGUGGUACACACAUUCAUGCUGUUGCAGGAGUAUAGGUCGGUGGUGUUACACACAUUCACGCUGUUGCAGACGUGCAGGUCAGUGCUGUUACACACGCUGUUGCAGGCGUGCAGGUUGGUGGUGUUACAUUCACACUGUUGCAGGCGUGCAGGUCGGUGGUGUUACACACAUUCAUUCUGUUGCAGGCGUGCAGGUCAGUGUUACACACAUUCACGCUGUUGCAGGCGUGCAGGUCGGUGGUGUUACACACAUUCACGCUGUUGCAGAUGUGCAGGUCGGUGCUGUUACAUUCACGCUGUUGCAAGCGUGCAGGUCGGUGGUGUUACAUUCACGCUGUUGCUGGCGUGCAGGUCGGUGGUGUUACACACAUUCACACUGUUGCAGACAUGCAGGUCGGUGCUGUUACACACAUUCAUGCUGUUGCAGGCGUGCAGGUCGGUGGUGUUACAUUCACACUUGCAGGCGUGCAGGUCGGUGGUGUUACACACAUUCAUGCUGUUGCAGGCGUGCAGGUCGGUGGUGUUACACACAUUCACACUGUUGCAGGCGUGCAGGUCGGUGGUGUUACAUUCAUGCUGUUGCAGGCGUGCAGGUCAGUGGUGUUACACACAUUCACGCUGUUGCAGGCGUGCAGGUCGGUGGUACACACAUUCAUGCUGUUGCAGGCGUGCAGGUCGGUGGUGUUGCACAUUCAUGCUGUUGCAGGCAUGCAGGUCGGUGGUGUUACAUUCACGCUGUUGCAGGAGUACAGGUCAGUGGUGUUACACACAUUCAUGCUGUUGUGCAGCUAUCACUUCCAUCUCCAGAGCCCUUUUCAUCUUAAAACUGAAGCUCUCCCAUCACACAGUGACCCUUCAUGUCCCUCCCCAGUCCCUGAAAAACACUGUUCAGGUUUUUCUUCCUGGACCUCAUUGUGUGGAGUUCCUCG
rnacentral:lncRNA from 1 species